UACAGAGGGGGCAAGCGUUGUUCGGAAUUACUGGGCGUAAAGGGCGCGUAGGCGGCCUGCUAAGUCGAACGUGAAAUCCCCGGGCUCAACCCGGGAACUGCGUCCGAUACUGGUGGGCUUGAAUCCGGGAGAGGGAUGUGGAAUUCCGAGUGUAGAGGUGAAAUUCGUAGAUAUUCGGAAGAACACCAGUGGCGAAGGCGGCUCACUGGACUGGUAUUGACGCUGAGGUGCGAAAGCGUGGGGAGCAAACAGG
rnacentral:rRNA from 1 species